rnacentral:snRNA from 1 species
AGCUUUGCGCAGUGGCAGUAUCGUAGCCAAUGAGGUUAAUCCGAGGCGCGAUUAUUGCUAAUUGGAGGACCCUCAUGCUGGUGUUUUAUGUCUGGUAAGGGCACAGCAUGACCCAGCUCUGAGGGCCAGGCCGCUUCUCUUCUAACUCAGUGUCUGG